rnacentral:rRNA from 1 species
GGAGGUUACUGCUAUCGGUGUUCGCUAAGCCAUGCGAGUCAUAUGUUCUUCGUGAACAUGGCGUACUGCUCAGUAACACGUGGAUAACCUGCCCUUGGGUCCGGCAUAACCCCGGGAAACUGGGGAUAAUUCCGGAUAACGCACAUAUGCUGGAAUGCUUUAUGCGUAAAAUGGAUUCGUCUGCCCAAGGAUGGGUCUGCGGCCUAUCAGGUAGUAGUGGGUGUAAUGUACCUACUAGCCAACAACGGGUACGGGUUGUGAGAGCAAGAGCCCGGAGAUGGAUUCUGAGACAUGAAUCCAGGCCCUACGGGGCGCAGCAGGCGCGAAAACUUUACAAUGCGGGAAACCGUGAUAAGGGGACACCGAGUGCCAGCAUCAUAUGCUGGCUGUCCAGGUGUGUAAAAUACACCUGUCAGCAAGGGCCGGGCAAGACCGGUGCCAGCCGCCGCGGUAACACCGGCGGCCCGAGUGGUGAUCGUGAUUAUUGGGUCUAAAGGGUCCGUGGCCGGUUUGGUCAGUCCUCCGGGAAAUCUGACGGCUCAACCGUUAGGCUUUCGGGGGAUACUGCCAGGCUUGGAACCGGGAGAGGUAAGAGGUACUACAGGGGUAGGAGUGAAAUCUUGUAAUCCCUGUGGGACCACCUGUGGCGAAGGCGUCUUACCAGAACGGGUUCGACGGUGAGGGACGAAAGCUGGGGGCACGAACCGGAUUAGAUACCCGGGUAGUCCCAGCCGUAAACGAUGCUCGCUAGGUGUCAGGCAUGGCGCGACCGUGUCUGGUGCCGCAGGGAAGCCGUGAAGCGAGCCACCUGGGAAGUACGGCCGCAAGGCUGAAACUUAAAGGAAUUGGCGGGGGAGCACAACAACGGGUGGAGCCUGCGGUUUAAUUGGAUUCAACGCCGGG